AACGAACGCUGGCGGCAUGCCUAACACAUGCAAGUCGAACGAGACCUUCGGGUCUAGUGGCGCACGGGUGCGUAACGCGUGGGAACCUGCCCUUAGGUUCGGAAUAACUCCCCGAAAGGGGUGCUAAUACCGGAUAAUGUCUUCGGACCAAAGAUUUAUCGCCUUUGGAUGGGCCCGCGUUGGAUUAGCUAGUUGGUAGGGUAAAAGCCUACCAAGGCGGCGAUCCAUAGCUGGUCUGAGAGGAUGAUCAGCCACACUGGGACGGAGACACGGCCCAGAAUCCUACGCGAGGCAGCAGUGGGGAAUAUUGGACAGUGGGCGAAAGCAUGAUCCAGCUAUGCCGCGUGAGUGAUGAAGGCCUUAGGGUUGUAAAGCUCUAUUACCCGGGAUGAUAAUGACAGUACCGGGAGAAUAAGCGCCGGCUAACUCCGUG
rnacentral:rRNA from 1 species